UAUACAAAGGUAUUGAAAUAAGAUUUUAAAUGAGUGCUAAGAGRAUGAUUGAACAAUUAUAGGCUUUCUUUAGUUAAAUAAUUAAAUUUAAUUUUUUUAGUGCAAAAGCAAAAAUUAAAUUUAGGGACAAGAAGACCCUAUGAAUUUUAAUUUAAUUUAUAAUUUGAAAUUUUAAAUUAAAUUUGAUUGGGGCGAUGGAAAAAGAAUGAGUAUCUUUUUUAGUUYUAAAAAUUGGYUCCGYUUUWAACGAUUAAAUGAGAAAAAUACUCUAGGG
rnacentral:rRNA from 1 species